rnacentral:lncRNA from 1 species
CCCCGGUUCACCCCAUUGAUGUCCCCUGCAGCCCCAGUCCUUGGCGCAGUUCGGGCGCCCCAAAAUCGAUGGGGAACUGAAGGUGUGCAGCAGCGAGCGGCGCUCCAAGGCGGACAGGUACGGAUUCCUCCUGGACAAGGCCCUGAUCAUCUGCAAGCGCCGUGGGGACGCUUACGAGGCCAAGGACGUCGUGGACCUACAAAGCCACCAGCUGAGGGACAGCAGCCUUGGGCCCAGGGACGGCAAGAAGUGGUCCCACACCUUCCUGCUCAUCAACACGGCCGGGCUGCAGGGCUACGAGCUCUUCUUCAAGACGCGUGAGCUGAAGAAGAAGUGGCUGGAGCAGUUCGAGAUGGCCCUCUCCAACAUCUUCCCGGAGCACGCCCUGGCGGAUGGACACGACUUCCAGAUGUUCUCCUUCGAGGACACCACAUCCUGUAGGGCCUGCCAGAUGCUGCU